rnacentral:snRNA from 1 species
AGCUUUGCACAGUGGGAGUAUCAUAGUCAAUGAAGUUUAUCCAAGGUGCAAUUAUUGCUAAUUGAAAACUUUUCUCCUGGUCUGGUCUACAGAGCAGACAGGGCUACAGAGAAAUCUC